rnacentral:rRNA from 1 species
GACGAACGCUGGCGGCGUGCUUAACACAUGCAAGUCGAACGAUGAAGCCCAGCUUGCUGGGUGGAUUAGUGGCGAACGGGUGAGUAAUACGUGAGUAACCUGCCUGUAACUCUGGGAUAAGCCUUGGAAACGGGGUCUAAUACCGGAUACGACCAACCCUCGCAUGGGGUGUUGGUGGAAAGGGAUUUUGUACUGGUUUUAGAUGGGCUCACGGCCUAUCAGCUUGUUGGUGAGGUAACGGCUCACCAAGGCGACGACGGGUAGCCGGCCUGAGAGGGUGACCGGCCACACUGGGACUGAGACACGGCCCAGACUCCUACGGGAGGCAGCAGUGGGGAAUAUUGCACAAUGGGCGCAAGCCUGAUGCAGCGACGCCGCGUGAGGGAUGACGACCUUCGGGUUGUAAACCUCUUUCAGCAGGGGAGAAGCGAAAGUGACGGUACCUGCAGAAGAAGCGCCGGCUAACUACGUG